rnacentral:rRNA from 1 species
AUACGUAGGGGGCGAGCGUUGUCCGGAAUCACUGGGCGUAAAGGGUGCGUAGGCGGCUAUUUAAGUCCUGUGUGAAAGGCCCCGGCUCAACCGGGGAGUGCCAUGGGAAACUGGGUGGCUUGAGUGCUGGAGAGGGUUGCGGAAUUCCCGGCGUAGCGGUGAAAUGCGUAGAUUUCGGGAGGAACACCAGUGGCGAAGGCGGCAACCUGGACAGUAACUGACGCUGAGGCACGACAGCUGGGGUAGCGAACAGGAUUAGAUACCCUGGUGGUCCCAGCCGUAAACGAUGAGUGCUAGGUGUUGCGGGUAUCGACCCCUGCAGUGCCGCAGUUAACGCAAUAAGCACUCCGCCUGGGGAGUACGGCCGCAAGGUUGAA